rnacentral:rRNA from 1 species
CCUACGGGUGGCAGCAGUGAGGAAUAUUGGUCAAUGGACGAGAGUCUGAACCAGCCAAGUAGCGUGAAGGAUGACUGCCCUACGGGUUGUAAACUUCUUUUAUAAGGGAAUAAAAUGUUCCACGUGUGGGAUUUUGUAUGUACCAUAUGAAUAAGGAUCGGCUAACUCCGUGCCAGCAGCCGCGGUAAUACGGAGGAUCCGAGCGUUAUCCGGAUUUAUUGGGUUUAAAGGGAGCGUAGGUGGGUUGUUAAGUCAGUUGUGAAAGUUUGCGGCUCAACCGUAAAAUUGCAGUUGAAACUGGCAGUCUUGAGUACAGUAGAGGUAGGCGGAAUUCGUGGUGUAGCGGUGAAAUGCUUAGAUAUCACGAAGAACUCCGAUUGCGAAGGCAGUUCACUGAACUGCAACUGACACUGAGGCUCGAAAGUGUGGGUAUCAAACAGGAUUAGAUACCCUUGUAGUC